rnacentral:rRNA from 1 species
AGUGCACGCUGGCGGUAGGCCUAACACAUGCAAGUCGAACGGCAGCACAGUAAGAGCUUGCUCUUACGGGUGGCGGGUGGCGGACGGGUGAGGAAUACAUCGGAAUCUACUUUUUCGUGGGGGAUAACGUAGGGAAACUUACGCUAAUACCGCAUACGACCUACGGGUGAAAGCAGGGGAUCUUCGGACCUUGCGCGAUUGAAUGAGCCGAUGUCGGAUUAGCUAGUUGGCGGGGUAAAGGCCCACCAAGGCGACGAUCCGUAGCUGGUCUGAGAGGAUGAUCAGCCACACUGGAACUGAGACACGGUCCAGACUCCUACGGGAGGCAGCAGUGGGGAAUAUUGGACAAUGGGCGCAAGCCUGAUCCAGCCAUACCGCGUGGGUGAAGAAGGCCUUCGGGUUGUAAAGCCCUUUUGUUGGGAAAGAAAAGCAGCAGGUUAAUACCCCGCUGUUCUGACGGUACCCAAAGAAUAAGCACCGGCUAACUUCGUG